UGACUUUCUCUGUAACCCUCUUUCUCUCUUCUUCUUCUCCGCUUUCGCUGAGUCCACUCUCUGCUCCUCCGCCAUCCAGACUACUCUCUCGUCCUCUGACAUCUAUCACCUUUCUCCUCCUCCGCCGUAAAUAUUUGCCAUCUUCCAGACUCAUCUCUCCUCCUCGCCGUUCAGUCUUCUAUCUUCUCCUCCGUUGUCAUGUCUCUUCUCCGCUCCUUCACAGUUCAGGCUCGUCAAAGGUAUAAUCAUCCUGACACAAGCUUCACAGCUAAUCAAAGCAAGAAGAAGAGGACGCAAAUUUGGAAGCCGAGAAAGAAGAAGAAGAAGAAGGCGGGGGUGGAUGCAAUAGGCGGAACCGUAGGAUGCGAUGGACGGGGACGAGCUUGACGGGCCCAGAGGAUGCAAUGGACGGGACUAGCUUCACGGUGGUGGAUGUGUUGUGUGGCGGUCAUUCCGUCACCGCUUCCUGUGGAGUGACGAUGAUUAUGUCACCGUCUCCGGUGGUGGCGUGGUGCACGGGAAAUACAAUAUAUAUUUUUGUAUAUGUAUUUCUUUGUAUAUUAUAAAUAAUUAAUAAAAUUAAUUUGGUUUUUUA